CUCUAGCUUGCUAGAGAGUGGAUUAGUGGCGCACGGGUGAGUAAUGCAUAGGUUAUGUGCCCCAUAGUCUGGGAUAGCCACUGGAAACGGUGAUUAAUACUAGAUACUCCUUACGAGGGAAAGUUUUUCGCUAUGGGAUCAGCCUAUGUCCUAUCAGCUUGUUGGUGAGGUAAUGGCUCACCAAGGCUAUGACGGGUAUCCGGCCUGAGAGGGUGAACGGACACACUGGAACUGAGACACGGUCCAGACUCCUACGGGAGGCAGCAGUAGGGAAUAUUGCUCAAUGGGCGAAAGCCUGAAGCAGCAACGCCGCGUGGAGGAUGAAGGUUUUAGGAUUGUAAACUCCUUUUGUUAGAGAAGAUAAUGACGGUAUCUCACGAAUAAGCAC
rnacentral:rRNA from 1 species